GGGAAUUGGAGUCAGUUGGUUGCUGUGAGGACAAGGAGGAGUCCGUACCUAGAGGAGAAGCGUACAAGAAACAUCAAGGAAGUAUGAAACUCUGGUGAUAUAGAACCUUUGCAACGUAGUGACAACAGAACUCCUGCACUAUAAUAACAGGAGGAAAGAAGAAACUCAGAAGUUCAUUGCUGUGAAGUUUGAAGGAAAUUUCCCGUCCCUAAAGUUAAAUAGAGCCAGUGGUAUCCAGCCUCUUUGGGGACUGGACCACAAAUGCCUUUCCCAACCUUUUGGCCACACCUGAGCUUCAUUCUGAACCUCCUGUACAGGUCCAAGGAAAAGAAGAGUGAGCCAAGGCUCCCAAGGGAUUGUGUUCCAUCCAAGAUCUCAGUGGCUGAGUACCACCAAGAGUGAGUGGGAGUAAGUAGCAAGCCUCAAGAGGAAAAUGUUUACACAGAGGAGAGCAUGGAUAAGGCUGUGUCUGCUCCAGAAAGGUCCAUGGACAUGAAUUUCUGCAGUCAUCUCCUUGUGCACCUGACUGGUCCUGUGGUGCUGCCCAUCCUGCAUCAGUCAAUGAGAACAGGGCUGAGUUUGCUCAGGGCUGUGUUCUUGUCUGGGUGAGCUGCUUUUCUCCACGUUUUUAUAUUGUAAAACUGUCUCAGAGGAUUCCUCUAAACUGACCUGCAGAAAAAGCCACACUGAGAGCAAACAACACAGAAAAAGAGGUGAAAACAAGAAAAACAGAGCUUGAGGGGAAAUGCACUCAGUGUGGGUUUGUUCCAAGCCUAUUUUAGAGGUGCAAAUUUUGUUCAUUUCUGUAGAAGAAGCAUUUUUUUUUUUGAAAUGUGACUAUUAAUACCAAGUCAGCACAAGAAUUUCUAGCACUUCAUAACACUACAGCUAUUUGAAGAGCAUCAGCAUCCUCUAGCUACACAGCAGAGCAAAGACUACACAGAAACUGUUCCAUGGUUGCUCAUAUAGAAGCAAUAAAGGAUAUUUAGGACCUUCUGACACAGCAGCUGUUCAGACUGGCCAUGGGAGAUAUUACCUGCAUACCAACUACAAAGAGAAAUACUUGGCUUUUUAUUCACUGGCUGGUUUCUGAAUAAAGUGCAGCAGACACACAAAAAAUGCCAGACAUUUUAAAUAUUUUCAAAACUGCUUUUAAAAGUCAGAGGGUAGAUCUGGGACUUCUCCUGCAUAUGUGAUUAUUUGCCAUGAGAUUACAGGGAAACCACUGGUUCCCAUCUGCUUCCCCUCAUCAGGGGCUCUCCUUACCCUAAAUAUCUGAGUUCAUUCUGUGACAUUUUCUUAGGGUAACUCCUUAGAGGAGGAUCCUGCUGCCCUGAAGUUCUGCCCAGAGCUCUAUCAGGAGCUGUUUGCUCUGUCUCCUGCAGACCAUGACACAGCUGUCUGCCUUAAACCUGGAAGGUUCAUAGUUCUCCUCUAACCUUAUUAUUAUUAUUAUUAUUAUGUAACCCUCUGGUUACAUAAUAUUUAAGUAAACUAAAUAAACUGAGAGUUGCCAAAGGGAGAAACAACCCAAACACGCUCUGUCAGAUCAAUUCAGGGAGCACCAAUGAAAGUCUUUUUAAUAGCAGCUCCCUUUCAUGAAGCAUCACUUUAGUCUACAACCUCAUUUAUUUAAAUGACUUUUUCUUUCCCUGAAAAUAAAUACCUUCAUGCCUUCAGAAAUCUGUGGGCAGU